ACCCGGACUCUGGAUUCACCGACGGCGGGUGCGCGGACAGACUGACGGCGGCGCAGCUCAACACAGAGCACCGGGCAAGAGUCCAUCCUUUCUUCCUCAGCCAGCCUGAGAUCGUGCCCAUCUGCUUCACGGUGAUGGCCACUUGGACCAGUCCGAAGUUGGUCUGAGCCAGCAGGUGUUCUAUGACUGGCCAGAGAGACAAAAAGGAAUUUGUGGUGUGUGGGUCCUUGUUGCUCAGAGGAUGCUGAACCUGACCCUCUCCAGGAGAGCUUGGGUGACGUGGGUGGGUGGCAGCAGAGGGCUCCCUGGGCUUGGCAUUGAGUGGAGCUAAUACAUAUUUGUGAUGGAAUGAUCGGAGCUCUCGCCUCACCUUCCAGAGGUGCCAAGUAUGUGUGUGUGUGUGUGUGUGUGUGCAGGACCCCCAAGAGGAAAGGCAGGAUGGGAGAUGUUGCCAAGGGUGGGUACCUCUUGUCUUCCCGCCCACCCCUUCAUGUAGUAUGUAGAAAGCAUCUGACUGGAGGUGCAGACCCGCCAGCCCCGGCUGUGACUAGCUCUGCAUGUUUUGCUUGGCUCUCAGUAUGCUAUUAUUGUUUUUAAAAAUUUAAUUAGCUGCCAGCAUUUACUAACUGGCAGCUUUCACAGAAAAGUCCGGAUUUCCGUCUUUUCUUG
rnacentral:lncRNA from 1 species